CCUACGGGAGGCAGCAGUGGGGAAUAUUGCGCAAUGGGGGAAACCCUGACGCAGCGACGCCGCGUGAAGGAAGAAGGCCUUCGGGUUGUAAACUUCUUUGAUCGGGGACGAAGAUGACGGUACCCGAGGAACAAGCCACGGCUAACUACGUGCCAGCAGCCGCGGUAAUACGUAGGUGGCAAGCGUUGUCCGGAAUUACUGGGCGUAAAGGGCGUGUAGGCGGGGGGACAAGUCAGAUGUGAAAUACCGCGGCUUAACUGCGGGGGUGCAUCUGAAACUGUUCUUCUUGAGUGUCGGAGAGGAAAGUGGAAUUCCCAGUGUAGCGGUGAAAUGCGUAGAGAUUGGGAGGAACACCAGUGGCGAAGGCGGCUUUCUGGACGAUAACUGACGCUGAGGCGCGAAAGCGUGGGGAGCAAACAGGAUUAGAUACCCUUGUAGUC
rnacentral:rRNA from 1 species